rnacentral:rRNA from 1 species
UAAGGGAGAGGAACACGUGGUUUAUCUGCCCUCAGGUCCGGGACAGCUGCGGGAAACUGCAGGUAAUACCGGAUGAUAUCUCCGGAUCAAAGGUGUGAUUCCGCCUGAGGAUGAGACCGCGUCCUAUUAGCUUGUUGGUGGGGUAAUGGCCUACCAAGGCAAUGAUGGGUACCGGGUGUGAGAGCACGACCCGGCUCACUGGGACUGAGACACUGGGCAGACACCUACGGGUGGCUGCAGUCGAGGAUCUUCGGCAAUGGGCGCAAGCCUGACCGAGCGACGCCGCGUGUGGGAUGAAGGCCUUCGGGUUGUAAACCACUGUCAGAGGGGAUGAAAUGCGUAGGGGUACUCUCCUACGUUUGACAUAGCCUCAGAGGAAGUACGGGCUAAGUUCGUGCCAGCAGCCGCGGUAAGACGAACCGUACAAACGUUAUUCGGAAUCACUGGGCUU